rnacentral:rRNA from 1 species
UGGGGAAUAUUGGACAAUGGGCGCAAGCCUGAUCCAGCAAUGCCGCGUGUGUGAAGAAGGCCUUCGGGUUGUAAAGCACUUUUAUCAGGAGCGAAACGCUGUCGGCUAAUACCCGGCGGAACUGACGGUACCUGAGGAAUAAGCACCGGCUAACUUCGUGCCAGCAGCCGCGGUAAUACGAAGGGUGCAAGCGUUAAUCGGAAUUACUGGGCGUAAAGCGUGCGUAGGCGGUUUCUUAAGUCUGCUGUGAAAUCCCCGGGCUCAACCUGGGAAUGGCAGUGGAUACUGGGAGGCUAGAGUGUGUCAGAGGGUGGUGGAAUUCCCGGUGUAGCGGUGAAAUGCGUAGAGAUCGGGAGGAACAUCAGUGGCGAAGGCGGCCACCUGGGACAACACUGACGCUGAGGCACGAAAGCGUGGGGAGCAAACAGGAUUAGAUACCCUGGUAGUCCACGCCCUAAAACGAUGCGAACUGGAUGUUGGUCUCAACUCGGAGAUCAGUGUCGAAGCUAACGCGUUAAGUUCGCCGCCUGGGGAGUACGGUCGCAAGACUGAAACUCAAAGGAAUUGACG